GGCUCAGUGGUGGAUGGUCCACACCUGUAUGUUGUGUUGUAAGUCAGUUACCUCUUAUUAUGCAGGAGAUACCUGUUCGAAUCAGGUCUGAGCCA